rnacentral:lncRNA from 1 species
UUAGUAUUUGAAAAGCUUUUUCUCGAUAAAAGAAAAUUAUGUAAGACUAGUAGGGUUAAGGAAAAAAUAGUUAUUUCAGGGAUAGAGUUAAGUUCAGGAUUAAAGUGGGGUUAAAGUUUUUUUGUGUUUGGUUGGGGGUUGGAGUUAGUCUAGAAUAAUAAAAAAUAGUGUUUGGUUGAAGUAGGUGGGAUAAGAAGAUAAUGAUUGAUAAAGAAGGAUAAUGAUUGGUUGGAGUAGGUGUGAUAAGAAAGAUAGUGAAUUAUUAUGAAUAGAAAAUAGUGUUUGGUUGGAGUUUGGUGGGGUUAGAUGGGGUUAGCUAAUCCGGGAUAAUUUAUUUGAGGUGGGGUUAGCUAACCCCACCCAUUUUUCGAGGUAUUUGGGGAUAAUAUGGGGGUUAAGGAGUUAUUCGACCCCUUAACCCCCAACCAAACAAGGGCUAAGAGAUUAAGGGCAAAGGCAAAUAAAGUGAACCAAAUAGAUGGUAAGACUAGUAAAAAGAUUAAGGGCACAUGAAGUGCAAAAUUAAUAUGUAUGAACAGUUCGCACGAACUAUUUAGUAGCCGAUGGAUGUGAAAUUAAAUUUGCGUGACUCACCACUGCCCCGCAGUCGAUCGAUUCACAAAAUAUUGAAUGAGCCCUAACUCGAUCAUAUGAACAUUUAUGAUAGGGCAAAGUCGACUCAAACGGGUUCAUUAUACCUGAGUAAGUGAGACUAGGAUCUAGAGGAUCAAUUUGAAUCUAAAUCCUCAACCUAGAGUUAAUUAGCUGGUUCAAGUUGAACUUAAGUUAAACUCUCCUUCUCUCUCUCUCUCUCUCUCUCUCUCUCUCUCUCACAUAAAAGGGUGAAAAUAGAUGAUGUGGCAGUAGGUGUAAGGAUAGGGAGGUGGAUUUGGAUACAUCCUUUGUUUAAAUUCAAAUUUAAAAUUUAGAAAGUAGAGGAAGUUUCCUAGGAGCUUCCUAAAGAGAGAUUUGGGUAAGGUUCGUUACUCGUGAUGGCAUUUAGUUAUAUAUAUAGACUCCUUUACACCUCCCUUUAAAACCUUUGAGCACGCCUGUGAAAAGGACUUGGGUUGCUUUAAAUUAAAAUUCCCAAUGUUUUUGUUGUCUUUUCUAUGCAAAUGAGAAAAAAAAAGUAUGGUAUCUUCAAGUUAUGACUUGGAGAAGUUUCAUUCAACUUCUUUAUUUGGGAGUAUGACUUAGUUGCACCAACUGAGAUUUUUAUAUUUGAGCUUCCGAAUAGGUUAUUGUUGAUGAUCUUAUUAAUGUACACCAUAUCUUCUUCAAUUGUACUAAGGCACAUGCAAAUGAUAAGAUACUUAGACAUAGAUUGCAGAAAUUAACAAAUUAUAGUUGCAUAUAAGUCCAUGUAUAUGUAUAUUUUUAUCGACCGCCCCUAUUUACCAAAAUUUUCAUUUUUAUUCUUUAAAGUGUUGAUUUUUAAAAUGCUUAUCAGUGAAAUUAUACGUAGAAUAAACUCAUUUCUUGCGCAAAUUGUCCCUCCUUGAAUUGAACAAGUCUCCAACUUAAGGUUAUAAAUAGAAGAUUUUGCAGGGGUAUAAAUGUGAAAGCCUAAAUGAAGUGAUGGAUUUGUUACAUAUAUGUAUGCCAUGAAGGAUCCCUCCCCCAUGUUGGCACAUGGAUGGUAAAUUUUGUGCGCGACUUUUAAAGCAGGGGGCAGCUUCUUAUGACUAAUCAUGGAAUAGUCAAAGAAUAAAAGAUCAAAAUAUUCUUUGAAGAAUUUGAACUGAAAUUUUAAAUUAAUUUGUGUAAGGAGUUCUACUUAAUGGAGCCUGAGCUGAGCACCACAAUGAUUAUCAGAUGUGCAAAAGAUAACAGUGCACUUAACAUGGGGCACAUGCAUAUAUAGCACAUGCAUGCAUGCUGUAACCACAUGCCAUAGAAUGCGGAGGAUAAUUAUCAUGUUGAGUUGAAUCUAAAAUGUAUCUAAUUAGUAUGAAUGUUACCUGAUUUAGUUGACUAAUAUUUACUAAUGAACAAAAAAGAUUAGUAUAAUUUAUAUGCAAGGGGUGCAACAAGUCGCUUCGACGUGUUCCUUUUUCCUCUCUUUAUAACCUCCAUUAGAGAGUGAAAAGUAUAACUAAAGCAUUCAGUUACUUUUGGGACUACGAAAUUCAAUAUCAAUCAGUUUUUGUUAACUAGGACUUUUUAUAUAUUAAACCACUAUAUAUAUAUAUUGAAUAGAUAAUCAGUGUGUUUUACUCAAAAUUCAAACCAAAACAACCAAUAGUAACAAUCAUCACCUAAAUAUUUUUUACUACUGAUUUAGAAUUGACUCUAAUAACAUGAUGGUUUACACCGAAACAAAAGAAUGGUUGUUUCAAUAUUAUAUAUCCAAUAAUUUUGAACUUUAAUUUUUCUAUGAAUAAACCGACCGUCCCUAGAGCAAGUGGUAAAGGGCUUGGUGGUUGGUAUCCGAGACUCAAGUUUGAAUCCUAGUUGAUUCAUAUUUCUAGCUAAGUUUAUUUCUAAAUGAAAUAAAUGAAGCGGCUAACGUGCUACCUAUUUAAAAAAUAAUAAUAAAAAAAAUAAAAAAAAUCUAUGAAUAAGAUUGGGAAACUACUAUGCGUGUUCAUUCUUAGUCCGGCCCCAAUUGGGCCUUUUCACUUUUAUUAGACUAUGGUCUUUACUUCGAGCCCAUUAUUUCAUCAGGCUAAAUAUCGAAGGGAAACGCGGCCCAUUUGGUUUCUUCUUCCUUUCUCUCUCGCGCGCGCUCUCGCUCGCGCUCUCGCUCUCGCUCCUUGGCGACGAAGAAGAGGAUGGAGCUUCGUGAUCAGGUGCAGUGAAUCGAAACCCUAGAACUCUUUGAUUCCUCCCCAAUAUUUUUUCCCCUCUUUUGUUUAUUUAUUUAUUUAUUGUGAGGAACCAUCCAUCUCAAAUCAUUGUGAUUUGUGCGUUAUUGUGACUGGAUUCAAAAUCCCAGGUUUUCGCUUCGUUGAGUACCCGCAUUUUGAAUCAUGAUAAUGCGUGAGGAAUCCAUCAAAUUUUUUUUUCCUUUUUGGCCGAAAUCAGUGAACUGCCUUUAAAAGUUUUUUAUUUUUGCUACCUAAAUUCUUAAUUUGUUUAAUUUGUGUCGUUUGAUAGCUCUUCAGAUGCAAAAAUUGGGUGCAAUUUUUGUUUUGAUCGGAAUAGAAUCACGUGAAUCACAUAAGAUACUGUAUUAGUGCAUUAAUUAAUAUACAUUUCCAAAUGAUGUUAAAUGUCUAUGAUCAAACGAAUUGAAAAAUCUGGUAACGAAAAAAAAAAAAAAAUCGAAGCUUCAGUCAUGACAUCCUGUACAAAUCAUACUGAUGCUUAAAACAAACAUUGCCCUGCAGUUAACAUGCUUGACGGUUGACAUAAUUCGUAAACAGAGGGAAGUGCAUAAUUUUUUGUUCGCAUUUAGCCAAGUAUGGUUUCGAGAAUUUGCAAAGUUGAUAAUUGUGAAUAUAUUUUCUAUUUACACUUAACAAACUGUUCGAAACAAAAUAAUUCUCCAGUGUUCGAAUCGUAUUGUGUUAAGGUCGACGUACCUUGGAAGAGCAAGUUUUUUUUGAAGAAGCAGAACAUAGAAUGCUGACGGAUCAAUGAACAGCUUACAGAUACCUGAGAAAGACGCUAAAACUUUGAACAUUGAAGUGACAUAUAAAAUAUGCAGACCAAUAAUAUAAUUUUAUAUUCAUCUUGUUGAGACCUUUUUAAUCUCAUGAAUCUACUCUUAUGUCCACUAGGUGUUUUGGUAUCUUGUGAUAUCGGGUCCUAUUGUAAACUCUUUUUAUGCAUGUAUCAUAUGUACUUGAUUACUUUCUUAUUGUAAUGUACACACCUAUAUCUUUUUAUAGUAUGCAUAAAAAUGGAUGAGCCAUUAGGAUCUAACCAAGAAGUUAUUGUUCGAAGUUGCCAACUUUAGUCAAUGUUUGCAUGACCCUUUGACCUCCAAAAGUAAAGGAUGCUUAUUUAGUCUACUACUACCUAUUUGAUCUCCAUACGUCGUACUGAAACCUAUUUGGUCUGCAAUUAUCAAAUUAUCAUAUGUUCUGACUAAAAAUGUUGGCAUUUUGCUGCCAUAAACUUGCAGAAUGAGAUAUCGGAAAUGAAGGUUAUCUGCUACAUACCUUUAUAUUUGUAGAGUAUUUCUUUGAAUCCUCACCUGUUGAAUUAUACUGGUCCUUGAUUUGUGUGAAGCUCAAUUUGUCCUCCCCAUAACCUGAUUCGUUCUUCUGCUUGGGUAGCCUGCAUCCAAUUGACUGUUAUAGGCAAGCCAUCAUAUAAUAUACCAUACCACAUCAGCUAUAUUAAGCAAUAAAUCUGCAAUAUAGUGUGUUAACUAAUAAAUCGGUACAUUUUUACUGAGGACUCACUUGGACUUUACAGUUUCGUUUUUAGUUUCAGACUUUCAGUAUAUUUGCGUCUGGGACUUAAAAAGUAUGAGAUUGUGAGUGUGCUACCUCGAUAUGCCACUUAGUUCUGGCAAUGAUCAUAAACAGAAUAGUUGUUUGCAAUAUUGUGCCAAUUAACAUUCCCACCCAAAUACCCUGCAUAGCAACAAAGAAUGAGCAAACAAUUUCACCAGCACUUUGUCAUUUACUUGUAGGAAAGUGGUCUUCCUCAACCUCUUACUAGUGCAUUGAGCUUGAGCUUAAAUCCAAAAAUAGCUCCUAUCGGCAACCCAAUCAGAUAGUAACAUGCUAUAUUUAUGAAGGCAACCAUCGAUUGCCAACCUGCUCCAAUUGCAACCCCUGUGAUUUUUUAAGAGAUUUUUGAGAUCAUAGUCUGAGAUACUAAUAAUCAAAUGUUUAAUACAGUGCUAUAUUUUUUCAGAUAUGUGGAGAGAGUAUACCAGAAAGAACGGGCUGGAUGCUAUAGAGAACUAUUGUAGCGGCAAGAAGAUACCCUAAUUCGGAAGCUUCUCUCACCAAUUCAGGUAUGUCUGUGAAAAACUUUGGCAAUUGCUUCCUCUCAACAAUAACUAUAACCAUGAAUAUUAGACCAAUAAAGGCUGAUGUAGAAACAGUGACUAUGACAGAGAAUCUUGCUGCUUUUGGGUGGUUGGCUCCAAGUUCGUUCGAUACUCGUACACUGAAGCAAUGAAAAAAGAGAAAAAGAAAGUUGUUUUUGACUAAUUUUAGCUUGCUUAUUAUGUUUAUUGGCUAACAAGUGUUCAAAAAGAGGGUGUGCUCACCUAACUGCCGUGUUAAAUCCUAUGGAAAUCAUCAGUGUCCAGAUUUGGUAGUUCAUGCUGUUGGACAAAACAAAUAAAUGAUCAGCUGAAUGAAAAAGAUAUUUUGAUUACAUAUUGAAAUAUGUACAGAUGUCCCCUUUGCAAUAUAUUUUUCUGCACCGCAGCUCAGAGAACUUCCAUACAUUUUUCCUUUUAUAUAUUCCUUGAAAAUCUGAAUUUUGAUAUAUGUCCUUAAAAACUUGAAUUCUUUUGUACAUAAUGUUUAAACUGUUUUCUAAUGCAUAAUUAACUUAUCAAUACUUGGAAAAUACUUGCAAAACUAAUCAGUAAGGAAUAGCUCCUUUUCUGGGAUGAUGGAUGAGAAAUCAAAGAAGAAAAUGCUAACCAGAUCGCAAUAGCGCCUAUUGCGAGUUCAGGAUUUUUCAAGCAACCCACAAGGAUGAUCACUGCAGUAUAAUACCAAAGCUCUAGGCUGCAUUCGAUAUGACCCAAGUUAAAGCUAGAAAAAGCUCGACAUAGAACAUUCUCUUUAUGGGGCACGAACCAACCAGAGCAUUAUAGCUGAUGCAAGUGAAAGCUUAACAAAAGCAGCAAGGUUCUUAAAGGCCUCCAUAGAAAAUCCUCCCCAGGCUUCUUUGAAACACCCUGAUACUAAGUAGAUAAAUUGUGCCAAAUUAAUAAGCCACCACGAAAAAUUUCCAACAUUUGCUGCACUAACUAUGCCAUAACCCCGCUUUGUUACAAAAAUCCAGUUUAACAAAGCAUGGAUGCCGAGAGCGACCCCCGAAAUUAUGGUCAUUACCCAUACUUUGCUUUGAGAUUGGAAGAAUUUCUGCAGGGGAAAAUUCACGGCAUACGCAAAUAACUGAGGGAUAGCCCAUAGUGUGUAUCUCCCUGCGACUUCGGAGAUAUCUUUGGUUUGAUGGACAAACUUUAAGAUUGGUGGUGUGAAGAUAUAUACUGGGGUCAGAAUCAAUGCCGUGGCUAGGCAGAUUAUCCACGAUCGUUGCAUGUAAAUCCCUAGCAUCUGGAGUUUUCCAGAACCAACAGCUUGGCCACAAAGGGUUUCCAGGGCACCUCCCAUGCCUAACUACAAAAAGAAGGUAAAAAUUAUUUCUUUGACUACCAGUAUUAGUUCAGAAUAUGAAUAGUUCAUUACUGGAUAUAUGCUUUUGCUGUUUUAGUGGUGCAGUUUUGCAUGCAUUUGAAGUUGUUAUACUUUUACUGUUGUAACGGUGCAGUAUACUUGCAUUUAAAGUUGUUUUUCUAUAUGAAAGCUUGUAAAAACACAAUUUUAAUCAACUAUCUCAAUGGUCUUUAUGAAUUAAUGUUUAUCUUGUUUGUGUUGAUAAUUUUACGAGUCUAGUAAAUUUGACUGUUGUCCGAAAUCUUGUUUUUUGUGCUUUUAUUAAUAUGCAUAGAUAAAAUACGCAUAUAUAGACAUACUCAGAUAUGCACAUUGAAAAAUUCAGCAUUUUAAAUAUUAUAUUUUGAUACCUUAUAUGUUUGAGCAUUUAUCGGUAAGUCAUGAAAUUUGACUACACAUAAGAUUAAAUCUAGAAUCGUCAAGGCAAACUAUGAAUAUCUAACAUAACCAUUGUGAUUUUCUUACUGAUGAUUUUUGUUUGGACUGAAUCCUUGAACAAAUUUUGCAUCGUGAAGCUCCUAUAGAACGAACUAAAGAAACACAAACAAUGUAAAAAUAACUUUGAUAAGAUAAAUCUUGCCUAUGACCAAUAUAACUCCAUAAAAGUAAGCGAAAAGUAGAUCUUCCUAAUCUAAACAAAAAGCUAAGCACAACUAUUUAAGACUUUGAAUCAAGAAGAAAAAAAUGCAAACAUAGUUAUUCUUCUAACAUAGUUGAUUAUCUCAUUUACCAAAAUCCCAUAAGCAAAGCCUUCAAUUACAUUCUCCACAACAGCAACUGCCGCAAGCUCAACCUCCCCGAGAUGACCGACAAAGGCCGUCGUAACGAAGCCAAUGGAGAAUUGGAAGACUGCAGUGAGAAUAGCAGGUAAUGCAAUGUGCCAUAUCUUUUUCGACUCGUCCCAGCUCUUGCCCAAAGGCCCUCCUAUAAUCGAAUCCAUGGUGUGUGACACUCCUCUUUAGAUUUUCUGAUCAAGAAAGAGUUUUUUUUUUCUUUUUGAAACCUCAAAGUACAUAUACUCUAUGCAUUCAUCUCUUCAGCUCACCAAUGUGCAUUCCAUGUUCUUGUCAUGUAUAGUAGGUUUUAGAUGAGUAGUUUGUAAAGUGUUUAGAUUUGUGCUGGGCAUUGGUGAGCAUGUUGGGUGGGGCCCUUAUGGAUUGUCGGGUCUUUGAUUUGGUAGUGAGAAUUAGUAUUUCUUUUUUCCUUUUUCCCCCCUUCUCUUUUUUUUUUUUUUUUUUUUUGGCCUUCCAGCUUUCGCUAAAGCAAAAGUGCUAUUUGAGUAAAGACUUUAAAUUGGAGCUUCUGAUUAGAUUGUAGAAGUUUAUUUUAAAUUUUUUGCUACUACAAAAAUGUAGGAUUUUUUUGGUUUGUCCAACGCCUAAUUAUUGUUUUCUGGCAAUAGAAAAUGCCAAAACUGAAAAAAGAAACAAGUACCUUGGUCGUAAGUCUCCUAUUACUAAAGUGAGAUUCUUAUCACACGGUAGUGGGAACAACAACUUACGUAAAGGCUUUACCUUCUUUUCCUGUAUAAGUUUAUGCUCUUAAAUUUUUCACUAAUUUUUUAAAGAGUUGCCAUGCACCAAGCAUAGACGGCAAAAGAUUAUAUAAUUUUACUUUUGAUUCGUAAAAGAUGAUAUAAUUGUUUAGUGAUUAUUCUAUUCCAUAAGAAUGAUCAUAUUUGGCAUGCAACCAACCUUCUCUUCGGAUACAAACCCAUUGACAUUGUUUAAUAAAUUCUUUAUAAUAAGAUAAUUCCAAUGGAAAGGGACGUUAUAGCAACUACAUUCCUUAUAUUUUUCCUGCGACUUGUUGCCAUGCAUCAAUCUCCAUGAAGUGUACUUUUAUUUUUCAUUUUUUUCCUUUUUUCAAAUUUUGUUUCUUUCUAAGGAUUAGUUGUGUGUUGUGAGAAGGGUUAACUCAGUUUCCUGCUUAUCUAGCUCUAAGUAAGGAUAAGAGCAUAUUCUUUGUGGCUUUGACUAAUCUAAGACCAUGAUUUUUUUUUUCUAAACAUUCGCUUCAGGUGCAGAGAGGUGCUGACAGCAAGUUUUAAAGAGUUGAUAGUAAGCAAGGUGAACUUUGCAGGUACUUCUGUUAAUCGCCUUCUCUAAAUUUUGUUUAUUUUCUUUAACAAUCUUUAAUCAAAUGACUUAUUUUUGAAAUAAUUCUAUUCAAUAUAAUUCAGGAUUAAGUGAUUGAUUAAAAUAGUUACGAAGUUCAUGCUAUUUUAAAAUUAGGUGGCUUUCCGCAAUUGAGUGAAUGUUCACCUAAAACUGAUUAGCAUGCAAAGCCGAGAAGAUUUAGGACGACUAUCAUAUAAUAAUAAGUAUUAGAAAGAUCAAACAACAAGAUGAAAAUAAUAAUACUUAGUGGUUUGCAUUGCAAGAAAUCAAUUUCUGAUUUAUUUAUUAAAUAUAAUGAAGUCAGAGGGUUUUCCAAUUUUAUCAUCAUCAGAUUGAAAACCUCCCAAAAAAUUUUCUAUUGCCACAGAGGUGUUUCACGAAUGUCGUAUAAGCAUUUGUCAUAUAUAUAUGAUUUUGUUAUUAAGACAUAAACCUGCUGCAUUACUUACAUAGAUGAGCCAAUCUCUUCCUUAAAAGGAAAGCAAUUCAUUCAAACCCAUGGGCAUUUGAAUAUUUUAUUUAGGAAUUUCUCUUUAUUCUCUCUUCUUCUUUUUUUUCGCUGAAAAUCAGAGUAGAGCUAUUUGAAUGAGCAGAGGCUUCAUUACAUAGGGAUCAUAAAAUAGGUACAAGUAAUAAGAAGAAAAAGGCGAAGCAAAUUAAAGAAGAGAAGCAGAGGAGCUUAAGGUUCCUGGCAUCUGAAAAAGAACAUGAUAUUGUCAGUCAAUGAUUAAGCUUUAGACACAAUUCAUCCACAGAAUUCACAACAGUGCAGAGAGAACAUGACCUUUUAGCUAAAAAUGCUAUUGAGAUAUGAAACUUGGUCAGCAAUUUAUAUGGUUAACAAGAUGAUCUUUCGCUCUUACAGAAACAAGUAUUUUACAGGAAUACAAGUGAUUUGCAGCUUUGAAUAGUUCCUGAAGUGUAGAAAAUCCCGUUCCCAACCAAUUACAGUGGAAUUACAAUACACAUUCGUAUUCAGUGAGCCACUGAAUUUACAGCAAAUGAUCCUCUUAAUGUUCUCAAAAAAUUGAAGUAUGAAUUGCACGAUCUUGUGCAAUCUUUCUAUAGAGAUUACUUUGUUUGCAGGUUUUAAGUUGAAUAUCUUCUGAUAACAUUUAGCUUUGGUAUCAGAAUAGCUCAGCAUCGAAAGCUGGAACCUUUUCCAACAAAGCAACACAAUCUCGAAUAUAAUUGAUGUAAUUAGCUGCUUGAAAAACCCGAGGAUAGAACCACUCGGUAUGCAUCAGAAAUGAGAAUAUACAAACCAACCAAUCAGCUAUUAGAGGUAUCAUCACUGCCAAUAAGCUCAGGUACUUUGUCAAGUAAGCGGUUCAUCUCCUGGUUAAAUUCAAGCUUUGCUCGAUUCGUCUUCGCUCCCACAACAACUGUACUCCCGUCUUGGAGGGCCCAUAUCUAAGGUAAGCAAAGAUCUUGCAUAUUACAUAUGAAUUUAGCUUUCAAAAGGAUGGAUAAAAAAAGAAGAGCAUAUGCAGUACCUGUGAGUGUGACAGAUAGCUAAUGCAAGUUGUGAGCAUUAGAGCACCAAAUCCAGCAUAUACAAUCGGCACCCCAGGAUCCGUCUAAUUCAAUAAACAAAGACAUAUUUCAGAGGGGGAAGAAGGGAAAUCAAGAGAAGCUUACGAGUCUUAGACACUAGAGUAGCAAUAGAAUACUUUCGAGUUCUCACCUUCAAAUCGAGGCCGCUGCUGCCAAUAGCAUCUUCAAUAACAAUUUUCAUACCAUCGAUCUCAAUAGGAAGUUUGGAGUUAGGUCUGCGUAUGCCCGCAAAUUUACCCUCUUGAUCAUAUAACACAAUGGAUUGUAGAUCACGAGCCAGCAUCGAUCUAAAAGUUAAUAAUAAAACUUAAACCAGCAAAUUCAUCAACUAGGCACAAGUAUAAUGCAAAACAGCUAACUCACAUUCCCUUCACGUUAGGAGAAUCAGUAUCUCCAGUUGGUAGGAAUGUUCCGAAAAGCUUUUUGUCACCAUUCAACUUUAAGGGAGCCACGGCCAAGUUGAACGGCCCUUCACCAUUUUUUGAUAUUUGGAGUGCUGAAAAACCCCAAUCUGUUUGGUAAAUUGUAAUCCCUCCAUAUCUUAAAGGAUCAUUCACCCUAAUGGUCUUCCUCAUCACUUCCUUCCCAUCGAGGUCGAAUAGUGAAAUAUCGGUAUAGAAUUGUGAAACCUGAUCAUGAAUCAUAGAAAUCUAAUUAAAUUGCCGAGACACCGCCUCAAUUUCCUAGAAGGAACAUUAAGUUUAUAAGUGAGUACCUCUCCACUGUCAUAAUACUCCAUAUAGAAUUUGUUAACAUGGACUUCAGUAUUGAAUACUUGUGGUGGGUAAGAAAGAAAACCGCUUGGAUUCAUUACAUCUCCAACAACAAAAUUGAGGCCUUGGGGGACAGUGACAGAGCCUCGAAAGCUUCCAGUAGCACUAAGUGUAGCUCCUGCCAUUAUCAAAAGCAUAGCUAAGUGCACGCCUAUUGGAGCGAAUCGACCUGCCAUUCCUCUGAAAGCGUAUAAAGAUGGCCCCUUAGUGAAUACCUGUGAUGUACAGAGCAUGGGUUUAAUAAUCUUAAUAUUACAUCAUCAGAUUAUUCAGCGUAACUAAAGCCAAGACGGUAAUCAUUAAGUUAGCUUCAGUCUUGUAGAACAAAUGUGAGAAGACUGAAACAACUAAGAGUAAAGCAUAUGUCCAUUGUAAAGCUUGUGUCAGUAAAAUAAGGACUUUGUACUGAUCCUCUGUUAUUUCAACCUCUAAAGUGUAUCCUCUACCAUAGUGAUUAUGACCAUGCUACCAAGAUAGGCUUAGCUACAUUUUAGUGCUUGUCGAUACCUAUUUCGAGAGCGCACAACGGAAAGUACCUCGUAUCCGGCACCCAUCAAGAUAAUGCCCAAGUCCUGAAUGGAUGCUCGUGGAAGAGAGUCCGCAAACUCUUGUUUACGGAUAGACUCUGUCGACUGUAUGAAUGACCAUCUGCAUGAAGGAAAAUCAACAGUUGCCCUUGCUAAUUCUGAAUGACAAAAAUUCUGCUUGUGACUUUGAACUCGGAAAAAUAGCAGACCUUUUAGCAACUUUAACCAAAGGGAUCUGAGUUGUGUAUGUACAGGCCAUGAGAGAUGCCGCAAGGAGGACCAGCAUGCCGAGGAAAACAGGGGAGCUGAACAUGUGAUCGAACCCAAGUCCAAGAACCCAUCUCCACGUAACGAAUCCGAAGACAGGGUUCUCCUCCGGAUACUUCUGGAAGUAGUAAUCUGGGGCCUCACCCUGAUCUAUGACCGUGCCUGUCGGCAUGAUUACAAAGACAGGUAAAAUAGAUGGUCAUCCAGUAAACGAAUAUCUAUGUAUGACAAACAAAUAGACUACUACAGGUAGAAGACUUAGGGUUAGGAAUCUUGAAACUCAAAGGAUUAGUUAACAAACUAAGCAUUUCGAAUAUCGGCUUGCUUUGCAGACCUUUGCUCUGUGAUAACCUAAUUUUCAGAGAAAAAUUAAACAAAACCAUCUAAAUUUAUGCUAUUUUUAUUCAACUUAUUGCUUGGCCCUUUAGUUGUUGAAUAUUUCCUCUUCACACUAUUUCUUCUAUCCAUAGUGUCUCAUCUUUGUCCACAAAAACAACAUAAGAAAAACAAUUUGUAAAAUUACCACCAAAUCAAAUGCAUGCACUUU